UCUCUCUCUCUCUCCCUCUCCCUCCCUCUCCUUCUUCCUCUGCCCCUCUCUCCGUCCACUUCUCCCUCCCUCUCUUUCCCCUCUCCACUUUUGGCUUGAGUUUCUUUGCCCAUUUUUGAUAGUUUGUCGACUUAUUGCCAAAAUUAUCAAGUCAGUUUACUUGCCAAGUCCAGCUGCUAGCUCUGGUAACCCGCGAACACCUUGGGAGCUGCUGACACUCUGCCAGGCCUGUCCCAAACCUUUCAAAGAGAUUAACUCCGGAGGAGGAGACAGAGGUCACGUCUUGCUGCUUUCUAGAAGCGGUCCAACACUUGUUCCUCAUUUGCCUCAUGGAAUGAGAGUACUAAAUUGGGGCACACUUCCUGGUUGGAUAUGGUUUGGAAUUUCGCAGACGGACAGCCAAGGACCCUGAAUUUCCGAGCGCUGGAGCGGGCUGCACGGCAUAGCAGGCUUCCUCAAGGUUCUGGAACGUUUCCAGGUUUCCCCAGAUUCUCCAACUUCUGUGUUCUCUAAUCCACUCACUUCUCCAAAGAAGCACUUCCUUAUCUUCCAAAAGUGUUUGCCUCACACUGGGAAAACCCGAUAAAGGAAUGAUCAGUUUUUAGCUUGUGCAGGCAAACCCCCCUCCCCGUACACAAUGAAGCAACCCCUGUGACAGGGUAGUUUGAUAACCCAAAGGAGUCGUGACCCACAGCUGGAGAAUUGCUGUUGUAGACUCUGUUCUCUUAUCCUCGCCGCUUACAGACAAGCUGACCUCCAAGCCAGGCUGAACUUCACCUCCUCAAUCUUUACUGCGUGUACAGAGGUCAGAGGACAAUUUGUGUGAGUUGGUUAUCUCCUUCCACCAUGUGGAUUCCAGGAAAUGACCGGGCUCUGACCUUUUUCUUUAAACAAGCAGGAAAGUGUCAACCCUAAUCCUCCUUCCUCUGUUAAGUGUCUUUGCCAGGUGGAAUUAGUUGAAUUCUGAGGACUUUGAGGGUUAUAAAUGUGACAGGCCUGCAGAAGAAGGCACAGCUUCUGGGAGGUGGAUUGCUUGCUGCUGGUUCAUCCUGCUGCUGCAUUUGCUGUUUGCUGAUUUGCUGGUUACCUGGACUUCUGGAUUUCUGGAUGACUGAUAUUUAUUUUGGUAUUGCCCCCAAAAGAAUCCUACAACCCUACCCAGCAGGAAGUAGCAGAGAGAGCUCCACCCCUAUCUCCACUAUCACCUUCUUUCCCUCCUACCAAUAUUGAGGGUUUGGAAGGGAGGUAGACAUAUUUAAUAACCCUAAAUAAAGGAGGUUUGUUAAAGAA